AAAGCUCAAAUUUGAAAUCUGGCGGCCGUGUGGUCGUCCGAGUUGUAAAUUAGAGAAGCGUCGUCCGCACCGGACCGUGUACAAGUCUCUUGGAAAAGGGCAUCAUAGAGGGUGAGAAUCCCGUCUUUGACACGGAGACCCGGGGCAUUCGUGAUGCGCUCUCGAAGAGUCGAGUUGUUUGGGAUUGCAGCUCAAAACGGGUGGUAAAUUCCAUCUAAAGCUAAAUAUUGGGGAGAGACCGAUAGCGAA
rnacentral:rRNA from 2 species